CCAUGUCUUCACAUGAGACUAACUACCUUGUUUUUGACACUCAGGUGGAAAAUGCAACUGCGCAGGAGGAUCCUGCUCCUGCUCCAACUGCUCCUGCACCAGCUGCAAGAAGAGCUGCUGCCCCUGUUGCCCCACAGGCUGUCCUAAAUGUGCCACCGGCUGCGUGUGCAAAGGGAAGACUUGUGACACUGCCUGCUGCCAGUGAUGACCCCGAUUCUCCUCCCGAGAACCUUAACACUUAUUUUCCACGAUGUAGGCACAGAAUGAUUUUUGUACUGUCUUUGGUCCUGAAAUAAACAUGUGAUUUAUGAACUAA